AAGAAUUAACCCAGCUAGCAAAAAAUAUCCGCACGGCUUCUUUUUGCCGCCGGCCCUAAGCUGUCGGCUAUAGGUGCGUCCCGCUGGCGGGGAUGAAACGUUUGCCGCCGAAUACGUCACUCCCAUUUCUUGCGAGAUGCCGCCGGCGAAAAGCCGGCGGGCCGACUGCUUCAUUUUCUUUGGCGGUUGCCUCCGUCUAAUGGACCGCGGCCGGCUGGCGGCAAGCCGCUUUGAAAUGCAAGGAUUUCUACUAAAAUCGACCAGCAGCCAAGGCUAUGUUUAGCAUGUUGGGAGUUAGAAUGGAAGUGGAACUGACAGCAUUUUAACUACUUUUCACAUCUGAAGCGAUUAUAAAAUCAUAAUAGCCUAUAUGUGAAUUAAAUCCCAUAUUAUUAUUAUUAUUAUUAUUAUUUUUUUUUUUUAAGCCAUUAGGGUUUAUUCUUGACUCUUGAUUCCAUGAUAAGGUACGGUUUAGGAAAUUACAUUUAAAUUACUUUGAAACUCUGAAGCGAUAGAGUAGCCUAAUAGGCUAUAUGUAAAAUUAUUUUAUGCACUUAGGUGAAAAUUGUUUACAUUUCUUUGAUUUAUGCACAAUUGAGACAUGCAUAAACCAAAAAUAAUUCCUUUUGUAAAACUUACUUGGCAAUAAAUAUCUUUCUGAUUCUGAUUAGGUUUUAAAAUAGAUAUUUAAUUCAUGGUAUGAACAAUUUAGCUGAAUAAAUUGAUGAAGUUAGACUUUUCACUAAUGCCUGGCUACAUCAGUGAACAGUGAAAGACAUCUGCAACAUGGCCAAAAUCUUGGGUAGGUCUAUACUUUAUAAUUUUUUAUUAAUUUGCAACCAUGGUAAUAGCCUAUCAUAAACAGGAAAAUCUCUGUUUUGACCUGAUCAGAAGGAUAAACUAAAAUCUAAAAGCUCCUCUGGUUUCACAGCUGCACUGGCAGAUUUAUGAAAUAUUUAGAAAUAUUUCGUCUUUCUGCCAUUCCAGGAAAUGUCAUUUUAUGUCUUUCAUUUUUUUCCAACCUCGAUUUUUUUUUUUUUUUUUUUUUUUUGACUUUUUACAUGUAUAAGGGAUUAAUUUGCAAUUGCGACCUGUACAAAUGUUUAAGACAGUAAAACACUUAAAAAAAUGUAAACACAUUAUAAAUGUUAGAAAGUAUAGGUUUUCACCAUUGCUGUGUUCAGGAUUUUUUUUUGGGCGGAGCUAAAACGGUGGCUCGAUGACGCACUGGAGCCACUGAGCUCCUGGCCCCUCCCCAAACAACAUAACUAGAGCACACAUUCGCGUCAGUUCGCCGUUCAAUCGCGAGUUUCUGUGGACUACCAUCGUUUAAGUAAGUACAUGUUUCCUUAACGCAAUAUUAUGUUUACAUUGUUUUUAGUUUAUCUUUGUAAAAUCUGUAGUCAUCUUUGUUCAUGCCUUACUAGUCAAGCUAAAGUAAGGCUAAAGUAAGUUAGCCUUGUUUACAAAGUUGCCGCCAUGUUACAAUUAAAGGAACACUCCACCGUUUUUUGAAAUAGGGCUUAUUCACAUUAUUUCCUACAUUUAGAUAGGUGGGCAAAUGCAUUUUUGUGUCAGUGCAUGCAUUGUUUUAGUUUGACUGGGUCGGCGUUAGCUUAGCUUAGCACAAUGAAUGGAAUCCUUUGUUGCCAGCUAGCAUGGCCUGAGUAAAAGUGAUCAAAAAAAUAAAAAAAAACCACCUAAUUACUUCUUGUGGACUGCGUAUUCACAACGAGUACAAAUAGCGAUCCAGAUUAACACUAGGCGAUUUCCUAGGCAGAUAUUGUCUUGGGACUAUAUUAUGGGGAAGCACAGGAGAAGCACUGCUGCUUAGGCGAAGCACUGCUACUUCGGCGCAGAGAUAUCACGCAACACAUGAAAUCCGAGUAACCCCAGAGUGCAGUCUGGACGAUGGGGCGGGGCGACACUUCGAGGCGGAGCGACACGUGUCGCCCCGCCCAUAUUUGUUUCCCCCGCCUUUGACAUUUUCCUCCGAGCCAGCAGGGGGCAGUUUGCGUUGAAACAAACAGAUCGGUGGCAACUACAGCAGCAGAGUAAUAACGCUAUUCCGUUGAUUGCUUGAGGUGAGUAAAAGUGGUUGUGUAAAUAUCUUAUAAUAUGAAAUGCGAUGUUGGAUCAUUUAUUCAUCCAUGGUACGUUCAAUUUGAAUAAUUAUUGUUAAUAAUUGUUAUAAAUUGCUCAUUUUAUUGUUCUUUGUGGAUUGUAACAGUACACUCUGUACAUGGCUUUAGUUCAUAGGUUCGAUUUUACAGAGGAUGACAUGAUCAGGAGGUGGUGGUGUUCUGUUCUCCUGGACAGCUUCACUCCGCAAAUAGCUCAACCACUGAGGGGAGGAACUUCACCAUUCACCAUGUCUUCAGGCAGAGUCCAGCAAAGCAGCUUCCAAUGGAAAUCCUCAGGGAAGUUAUUUUGUCGGCGGGUGACUCUGCAUAUUUGACACUUUCUCUGGUUUGCAGAUGGUUUAGGGAUGUGCUCCGAAGUUUUUCGGAAAGCGGCACAGUUUGCCUGGCUAGACAUUGUGGCCAACUGGAAGAAUUGUCCUCCUGUCCACUGACCAGAACGAGUUCAGACGGAUGUACAGCAUCAGGGAACGCUUGCAGUGCAGAGCCCUUUUCAAGUUUAACCCACCAGGGUACAGGGAAGAGACCGGCGUGGUGAUCUUCUGGGCUUUUGUUUACACAGGAUUUUGUUCCAAGGACUGUUGUUUUUUAUUUAUUUAUUUAUUUUUCGGCAUGAAACACAUUUGUGUGUUAAGUUCAUUGAAGGGAAAUAGAGAAUGGACUGAGAUCAACUGGUUUUGAUGUAUUAAUUGAUGUAAUUUAAAGUUAAACUUUGCAGUGUAUAAUGUUUUAAUAAAAAAGCUAUGGAAAACA